rnacentral:rRNA from 1 species
UACGGAGGAUGCGAGCGUUAUCCGGAUUUAUUGGGUUUAAAGGGUGCGUAGGCGGUCCGGAAAGUCAGCGGUAAAAGCCCGGGGCCCAACCCCGGCGAGCCGUUGAAACUGUCGGACUAGAGACGGCGAGAAGUACGCGGAAUGCGCGGUGUAGCGGUGAAAUGCAUAGAUAUCGCGCAGAACUCCGAUUGCGAAGGCAGCGUACCGGCGCCGGACUGACGCUGAGGCACGAAAGCGUGGGUAUCGAACAGG